rnacentral:sRNA from 1 species
GCCCCUUCCUGGGGCUGGAGCAGCCGAGGAGGCCCUCUCCUGAAGCUGAGACUGUGUCCUUCCGGGGGAACCCGAGGACGCUGGACCUUACACUUUAAAGAGGCCGAGGACCACAGCUGCGCAGAUGUCUUUGCAGCGGCUGCGUAGGCACCACUGGCCUGGGGUGCUUCAAGGAUGACCGCAUCGUCUUCUGGACUUGGAUGUUCUCCACCUACUUCAUGGAGAAAUGGGCUCCCCGGCAGGACGACAUGCUUUUCUAUGUGCGCCGGAAGCUGGCUUACUCCAGCAGCGAAAGCGGUGCAGACGGGAGGAAGGCAGCUGAGCCCGAGGUGGAGGUGGAGGUGUACCGGCGGGACUCCAAGAAGCUGCCAGGCCUGGGAGACCCUGACAUCGACUGGGAAGAGAGCGUCUGCCUGAACCUCAUCCUGCAGAAGCUGGACUACAUGGUGACCUGUGCGGUGUGCACACGUGCUGACGGCGGGGACAUUCACAUCCAUAAGAAGAAAUCUCAGCAAGUGUUCGCGUCCCCCAGUAAACACCCCAUGGACAGCAAGGGGGAGGAGUCCAAGAU